CUUCCAUGCCCUAGCGCCGGUGCCGCCACCACAGUCGACGCCGAGGAUUUCUUCUCUUCUCCUCUCCCUGCUUUAAUCGGCGCCGCAACAUCCGCCGCCGAGGCCUUAAUUCCUCUGCUGCCGAAGCCCUAGCCUUUGCACAGUGCCACUGCCGCGGCAUCUUCUGCCGUAGUUUCCGGCCGAUUUCCCCACUCACUGGAGUAGGCUACGGUUUCCAAUCAGUGACACUCUUCACCAGAGAGUAACCUGCCAAUGUGGUUAGGAGUAUUUGAGUGGAGAUUUUGACCCCCACCUUGCUGCAAUCACUGGAUCCGGCAGUAACUUUAGCCACAAACCUUGAUCCAGCAGUAUUAGGCGACCCUUUGAUUUACAGCAGCAAUUAAUCUUUGCUAGCAGUAGAGUUUUGUUUUCCGGCAGCAGCUUGGUCUAGCAGCGGUUGAUUUGAGGACUUUGACGCGAGACGAGUAUCUCGGAGUCAGAUCGGACCUUUCUAUUUUCGGAGG